GUAGACAAGCCUAUGAACUUCACUUCAUAAAUCUACUGGAUAUGAAAAAAUCAUGGAUUGUAUAUAGACAUUGGAUUUAUGGCACUGUAACAGGGAUCAUGGCAUCCCUAUUACUUAAAGAAAGCAUUAUCUCAGAUGGGCCCCACCUUGGGGAUACUAGAGACAAUGAACCCGAACAAGACACACCUGUGACAGCAUAUGGCUGAUUACUGCUGGGUGAGCAAACCUUUAGAUAAGAGGCGGCACCACAGAGCAAUCGACCCCCAGCAGGGAACCAGGAGGAGAAGACAUGAGUCAGCAGACAAAGCAAGUGCCUUUGACCGAUUAAACCUGAAGACUGCUGAGAUUUGGUUCCCAGGGCAUGGAAGGCGAGUUUGACCAGGCGAACAGGGGCUCCACCAAAGGGACCUGGUAACAGGCACUUUAUAACCUGCAGGCCAUCCGAUAACCCCAGGUAACCUGUCUGCAUUUUACCAGCUACAUUCUAUCACCAGACCUGCCUUUUGCAUAUUGGCUUCUAUUCCAUCAUGGGGAGCAUAAAACAUCAACAGACUCUCUCUGUGCCUGAAGAAGGGUGUUUGUGCCCGAAAGCUUGAAAAGAACAAAUUUUCCAAUUAUUUAGUUGGCCUAAUAAAAGUUAUCACA